rnacentral:rRNA from 1 species
UACGUAGGUGGCAAGCGUUGUCCGGAAUCACUGGGCGUAAAGCGCGCGCAGGCGGCGAUCUACGUCUGGGGUGAAAGCCCGGAGCUCAACUCCGGGACUGCCUUGGAUACGGGAUCGCUUGAGGAUUGGAGAGGCAAGGGGAAUUCCACGUGUAGCGGUGAAAUGCGUAGAUAUGUGGAGGAACACCUGUGGCGAAGGCGGCGACCUGGUCCUUGACUGACGCUGAGGCGCGAAAGCGUGGGGAGCAAACAGG